rnacentral:rRNA from 1 species
GACGAACGCGGCGGCGUGCCUAAUACAUGCAAGUAGAACGCUGAAGGAGGAGCUUGCUUCUCCGGAUGAGUUGCGAACGGGUGAGUAACGCGUAGGUAACCUGCCUGGUAGCGGGGGAUAACUAUUGGAAACGAUAGCUAAUACCGCAUAACAGUAGAUGUUGCAUGACAUUUGCUUAAAAGGUGCAAUUGCAUCACUACCAGAUGGACCUGCGUUGUAUUAGCUAGUUGGUGGGGUAACGGCUCACCAAGGCGACGAUACAUAGCCGACCUGAGAGGGUGAUCGGCCACACUGGGACUGAGACACGGCCCAGACUCCUACGGGAGGCAGCAGUAGGGAAUCUUCGGCAAUGGACGGAAGUCUGACCGAGCAACGCCGCGUGAGUGAAGAAGGUUUUCGGAUCGUAAAGCUCUGUUGUAAGAGAAGAACGAGUGUGAGAGUGGAAAGUUCACACUGUGACG